rnacentral:tRNA from 1 species
GGGGACGUAGCGUAGUGGUAACGCAGCUGUCUGUCAACCAGCAGUCGCGGGUUCGAUUCCCGCCGUCUCCA